CUCAGAUUGAACGCUGGCGGCAGGCCUAACACAUGCAAGUCGAACGGUAACAGGAAACAGCUUGCUGUUUCGCUGACGAGUGGCGGACGGGUGAGUAAUGUCUGGGAAACUGCCUGAUGGAGGGGGAUAACUACUGGAAACGGUAGCUAAUACCGCAUAACGUCGCAAGACCAAAGAGGGGGACCUUCGGGCCUCUUGCCAUCGGAUGUGCCCAGAUGGGAUUAGCUAGUAGGUGGGGUAACGGCUCACCUAGGCGACGAUCCCUAGCUG
rnacentral:rRNA from 1 species